rnacentral:tRNA from 1 species
GCCCUUGUAGUAUAAAACAACACGCUAGCCUUGUAAACUAGA